rnacentral:rRNA from 1 species
UACGUAGGGUGCGAGCGUUGUCCGGAAUUAUUGGGCGUAAAGAGCUCGUAGGCGGUUUGUUGCGUCUAUCGUGAAGACCUGGGGCUCAACCCCGGGCCUGCGGUGGAUACGGGCAGACUUGAGUUCGGUAGGGGAGACUGGAAUUCCUGGUGUAGCGGUGAAAUGCGCAGAUAUCAGGAGGAACACCGGUGGCGAAGGCGGAUCUCUGGGCCUUGCCUGACGCUGAGACGCGAAAGCUAGGGGAGCGAACAGGAUUAGAAACCCGAGUAGU